rnacentral:rRNA from 1 species
UACGGGGGGGGUAAGCGUUGUUCGGAAUUACUGGGCGUAAAGGGCUCGUAGGCGGCCAACUAAGUCAGACGUGAAAUCCCUCAGCUUAACUGGGGAACUGCGUCUGAUACUGGAUGGCUUGAAUCCGGGAGAGGGAUGCAGAAUUCCAGGUGUAGCGGUGAAAUGCGCAGAUAUCAGGAGGAACACCAAUUGCGAAGGCAGCUCGCUGGGACGUUACUGACGCUGAGACGCGAAAGCGUGGGGAGCAAACAGG